UACGAAGGGGGGCAAGCGUUGUUCGGAAUGACUGGGCGUAAAGGGCGCGUAGGCGGUUCGUUGCGUCAGAUGUGAAAGCCCCGGGCUCAACCUGGGAACUGCAUUUGAUACGGGCGAGCUUGAAUCCAAGAGAGGGUGGUGGAAUUCCCAGUGUAGAGGUGAAAUUCGUAGAUAUUGGGAAGAACACCAGUGGCGAAGGCGGCCACCUGGCUUGGUAUUGACGCUGAGGCGCGAAAAGCGUGGGGGAGCAAACAGG
rnacentral:rRNA from 1 species